GACGAACGCUGGCGGCGUGCUUAACACAUGCAAGUCGAGCGAUGAAGUUUCUUCUGAAAUGGAUUAGCGGCGAACGGGUGAGGAACACGUGAAGAAUCUGCCCUCCACUUUGGGAUAACACCGGGAAACCGGUGCUAAUACUGAAUAUUGAAACAUAAGUGGCAUCACUGAGUUUUGAAAGAAUUUUGGUGGAGGAUGACUUCGCGGCCUAUCAGCUAGUUGGUGAGGUAAUGGCUCACCAAGGCAACGACGGGUAGCCGGGCUGAGAGGGCGACCGGCCACACUGGGACUGAGACACGGCCCAGACUCCUACGGGAGGCAGCAGUGGGGAAUAUUGGGCAAUGGAGGAAACUCUGACCCAGCGACGCCGCGUGCGGGAUGAAGGCCUUCGGGUUGUAAACCGCUUUCAGUAGGGAAGAAGCGAAAGUGACGGUACCUACAAAAGAAGCACCGGCUAACUAUGUGCCAGCAGCCGCCGCAG
rnacentral:rRNA from 1 species